UACGUAGGGGGCAAGCGUUGUCCGGAUUUAUUGGGCGUAAAGCGCACGCAGGCGGUCCACCAAGUUCAGGGUGACAGUUCCCGGCUCAACUGGGAAAGUGGUCUGAAAACUGGUGGACUUGAGGGCUUCAGAGGGACACGGAAUCCGGGUGGAGUGGUGAAAUGCGUAGAUAUCCGGAGGAACACCAAAGGCGAAGGCAGUGUCCUGGGAAGUACCUGACGCUCAGGUGCGAAAGCCAGGGGAGCGAACGGG
rnacentral:rRNA from 1 species